GCGUGAGGGCGUGGGGAGAGGAAAACAGAUGUCCGGAAGGAGGCCGGGGUGAGAAUCCAUGCCUUCCCCCGUUGCUAGAGACGAGAAAAGAGACAGGCAGAUGAAUUGCAGUACUGGAGAGCACACCUUGCACUUCGGCUGAAAGAUCGGCGAUCUUUGGGAAAGCAGCUAAGUAGAAAAUUGAGAGAAGGCAGAUUGUAGCAUGAUAGGAAAUGAACACUUGGAAAUGGAAGCAGUAUAGACUUUAAGCUGGUAAAUUUUGGAACGGGAAAAAGAAAGAAAAAAAAAAAACACCAGCCGAUUAAAGGCAACCCAAACCUUUUCUUCUUUUUUAAACCGGGUACAAAAGGGCAUCUGCACAUAUUUGAACACAUGAAGGAAAAUCUCUGUGAAGGAAAUGAAUUUUAAAAACCUACAGAAAAGACAAAUGAAGUGAUCCGAUGGGGGCACCGAGGAGCGUAGAGGAGGCCAGCGGUGACUGUUCCAAACUCCGUCAGUCCCCCGCUCGGCCAGAAACACGGGGUUUGAACCGCCCACUGGUGAACCCUAAGGCCUUGCCGCCCCCCCCCGAACCGACCACGAGCAGCUCCAACGUCCUCCGCCCGCACGUCGGGGCUCCCCGUUUAGAACAGGGGCUGGAUUCAACCAGGAAGGUCCACUUAGGAUUUCAUACCAAGGCUCCUCCUCGUUUUCAGACAUGUUAAGGCAACCUUCUGAGCCAGGAGUUAAGCAGGUGCAGCCCCUCCGUGUCAAGGUUCCCCUGCCGGACAGAAGGACGGAAGGACGGCCUCGGCAAGGGUCAACCGCUUUCAGCUUGCCCCACCGCUUCUAGAGUCCAACUGGAAGGUGAGGCCAAAGCUGUCGCCUGGGGCAUGAAACGAGCAAGCUUCUACUGCGUGACAAGCUGUUUUUUCCCUCAAGGAGAAAGAACUAUUUUCGACAAACACUUACGGCCUCUGUGGGCGCUGGGACCCACCUUCGCUCUUCCACUUCCCGAGACAUCACUUCUGUCCCCGUCACUUGCAAGGGAAAUGGCUGCUUCCCCAGGCUCAUCUCAGCACUGCCCACCUGACUGUCGGGCCAGGGACAGAGCAGCAGGAGGGCCGCAGGCCUCGUUGGGACACACCUCUCUACCCGCAAGCCAUAAGGAAAACAAGCCGAAGCUGGGCCAUUUUCCCUUCCCCUUUUCGUCCGCUGGCUGUCAUACCUCCCCCUUCUUUCCUCACAAUGAAAAAGCCACUUAAAACCCUGAAACCUAUUCCAUUAGGGGAGCAAACAGAUACAAACGGAGGCACACGUGACAACGGGGGGAAACUCGGUGCCACCCCGCCGACACCACUCCAAGGGGAGAGGUAGAACUGCGCCCUGGGCGGAUUCUAAAUUCAAACUGCAAAUUCAAAAUUUGUCUUGAUUUUGAGGUUGCAGGUGACUCACAUAAACAGAUGUUUUGCUGUUACUGAAUUUUAGCCCCAAAUAUGGUCAGUUUCAGCGGUGACUCUCUCCUGUGUUAUUUAGGUAAUGCCCGGCAGAGGCUCCAGAAGGAUCCAAUAUCCACAGCAGAGCAGAGACAAUACUCCUUCCAGGUUUCCAUUCACUUCUCCGCUUUCGCCUCAAAAACUCAUGGAACUCUAGAGCUGUUCUAAUGGCCCUGAUCGCCUCUACCAGGCCGAAGGGCCAUGUGAAUGUCAACUUUAGUUCUUUGUGUAUUUAAUUAAGGUAGAGCUGGCAACAUUCUAAGAUACUCACGUGGGCAUUGCAAGGAUCUGAUCUGUGUCCACUGUGGAAGGAUUCCUCCAUAUCGGCUUUAUUCUAACGCAAGUGUAGGGGAAAUGCCUUUUCUUAGCAGAGACAAAAAUAGAGUUUUUCAGAAUAAAACUUUAUUUAAGAAUUAAGGGAAAACAAAAACAUUAAAGCAUAGGAAUACAUUGACUGAAUACAAGUGUCUCGUUUGGUCUGAAAUCUUGAAAGGUACUCUAACUACUUACCUGAGGUAGAUUUAGGUUGGCACUGUCUCAAGAGAACCUCCAUCCAUCCCAGAAGUUACCUUCUAGUUUUGGUUACAGGCUCCCAAGUGGUCCUCUCCAACCUCAGGUUAUGCUCUAUGAACAACACCAACACCUUUUCCCCCACAGUUAAAAGCCCUCACCCUCAGACCUGUCUCAUACCCCUAAUGUUCUCCUUUUGAGGGAUGGUCCAUCCUUAAUUUACUUAAAGACGAGAGACAAUUACCGGUAAGAUUAGUUGAAAGAAGGGGCGAGUCACUGCCCUGGCGACGAUACAAACUCUGUCCCCUUCUCCAAGUUCUAAUGACUAACAAGUAGCCAUACGGACUAACUGUCAUCACCACCAGGCCAUACGCCCGAUACUAUUUUAAGUAUUACAACUGUCAAACAUAUACUAGUGACAGGCAUGAUUCGCACCGAAGAGAAACAAAUACAUCUUGCGUGUUUUGUCACACUGGGCCACUUUUCAUGGUGUAAGAACUGUGUAUGAAAAUUACUAAAACACAUCAGAUCGAAUAAACUUCCAGCAAUUGUUUUCAAACACAAAAAAACAAAAAAGCAAAAACGAAAACACAAACAAAAAAUCCCCUAGAAUCAGAUUCCUUAUUAUCACUAUAUGCUCUAUCCACUGACCCUAAGAUGAUCAAGAUCAUCAACCAGUCAUUAGGAUCAAAGCUUAGAGCCACACACAAGGUAGCCACUGGCCACCCAUGAGUCCGAAUGCCAACACUCUCUGGAGUUCAGGGAUUUGUUAAAAUAAACCAGAGAACCCAGACUAGCAACAACAUACUGACUCACCAGUCUAUAGUCCCAAAUACUGGAGGAAUCUUAAGGAUUUAUAUUAAAUGUCUUUUAAUCUGACAGAAGGAAAAAACCCCUCAGAAUUGUCCGUUAAUAAUCCCUGGAUUAAUUAUAGUAUUUCUAGAGAAUGUUAAAGAUAAUCAUAAUUAUCCUGGUAAAUUGCAGAUACGUGCUCAUCCUUAAACCUCUGAUGAAUUUGCCAACUACUUUUCCCUUCUAGCAUUUAGAAUCCUACAUUCCGAGCCAAACAGAUACCUUGUGUUGUGGUGACUGCAAUCCUUUCCCUGGGAAUAAAAAGUAUUCUCUUUUCUUGGCAGAACUGAAAUAAACGAAAAGCGUGUCAUUAUGGGGCUUGAUUUGCUAUCAACAGCAGGGUAACAGAGUGAAAAGAACACCAGCUUUGGAGUCGGGAUAAUCGGAAUCAAGAAGUUUAGCUCCUCCAUUAAUAAUGCAUCGUUAUGUGUUCUUUCCUGUGCCUGCUCAGGCUUAAACCUUUCUUUUGGUUUCCCUUAAUCGGCCUGCGAGGAUCUGAAGAGCGGGUCUCAUCACUGAAAGAGACGUGAUAAGGUCCCAACAACGUGCACGCUAGCAACCUCAUGACAGUUCUGCUGAAAUUUGCACUUCUGAGUUGGAAAGAAAUCAGUCUCUAAAGCGGAGAUUUCGAAAACCAGCGAUCAUCUCAAAGGUAUUUCAGGGAAAGAAAACUUUUGAGGGGAUGCCUUAACUCACACUAAAAUACACAAGCUGACUAUUCUGCCUCUUUAUGAGGUUGGCCCUCCGAAGGAGGAACCUGGGGGGACAGUUUCGAUCUAGGGUCACUACUCCCUGGCCGUUCAGUUCUUUUCACUACUAGCAAACGGUUCCCAGGCUACUAUCGACACGCUAGUCCCCAUUCUGGUCAAGAAU